CUGAUGUCACGUUAUGUUGAUGCGCAGAACAAAACGAAUUUUAACAGUUUUUGUGAAGGUACGAGAAGUUGUGGAGUUGUGGAGUUGUGUAGUGGAAAUAAGGUUGAUAUGUCUUGUAUGGAAAAUUGAGGAAACUAAUCGUUUCGCAUGAAAAUAGUUUUGGGUCAAUACAAGUAAAAGGAUCUUCAGUAGAAAUGUUGAGUAAAAAUAUAUUUGAUUCCUAAUUUAUAAACAAGGUCUCCUAACCUCUAGUGAAGAAUUGUAGUAGCAGAUAUUUGUCAUUAAAUAAAUACAUCAUUUAUUAACGUUGGAAACGAAGCACCUGCAAAUAGCGUUUGCCUCAUCACUGUAAAAAGAAUUCCAGUAGUAAUUUUUUGUGAGGAUGCCAGUUCAUGCAAUUCCGAGAACAACUGUGUCAUAUCUCAACUCUUUCGAAUCUCAACUAUUUCGAAUGAUGUUUUCGAAAACUAGGUGGUGUUUCAAGAUCAGAAGGAAUUCUAAUAGGAAACUCAAUAAUAGUUAAUUUUCGGACACUAUGUGUUUUUUGUAUAUCAACUAUCUACUAAGUUGUAAUCCGGAAUAAAUUCAGAUAUUCAAAUUA